rnacentral:rRNA from 1 species
AUUGAACGCUGGCGGCAGGCCUAACACAUGCAAGUCGAGCGGAUGAGGGUAGCUUGCUACCUGAUUCAGCGGCGGACGGGUGAGUAAUGCCUAGGAAUCUGCCCGAUAGUGGGGGACAACGUUUCGAAAGGAACGCUAAUACCGCAUACGUCCUACGGGAGAAAGCAGGGGACCUUCGGGCCUUGCGCUAUCGGAUGAGCCUAGGUCGGAUUAGCUAGUUGGUGGGUAAAGGCUCACCAAGGCGACGAUCCGUAACUGGUCUGAGAGGAUGAUCAGUCACACUGGAACUGAGACACGGUCCAGACUCCUACGGGAGGCAG